rnacentral:snoRNA from 1 species
AAUCCGUGAUGUGGGUAGCAUCUCAAAAUAUUCUUAAGGCGCUCCCAUGUAUCAUAUAUGCUCUCAUUAUCAAACUGCACAUCAGAAGAUAUGUCAUUUCUAAGUUU